rfam:Triticum aestivum genome assembly, contig: Triticum_aestivum_CS42_TGACv1_scaffold_434368_5DL
GUAAUACUCCCUCCGACCGGAAAAGCUUGUCCUUCAAAUGGAUGUAUGUAGCAUCAAGUGCUAGAUACAUCCAUUUAAGGAACAAGUUUGGGACAAGCUUUUUCGGACAGAGGGAGUAGCUA